UACGUAGGGUGCGAGCGUUAAUCGGAAUUACUGGGCGUAAAGCGUGCGCAGGCGGUUCGUUGUGUCGGCGGUGAAAGCCCCGGGCUCAACCUGGGAAUGGCCGUUGAAACUGGCGAACUGGAGUGUGGCAGAGGGGGGUGGAAUUCCGCGUGUAGCAGUGAAAUGCGUAGAGAUGCGGAGGAACACCGAUGGCGAAGGCAGCCCCUUGGGCUAACACUGACGCUCAGGCACGAAAGCGUGGGGAGCAAAC
rnacentral:rRNA from 1 species